GUUCAUGUAGCUUAAUAUAUAAAGCAAAGCACUGAAAAUGCUUACAUGGAUUUUUAAUCCCAUAAACA
rnacentral:tRNA from 1 species